rnacentral:tRNA from 1 species
GGCGGCGUCGCCAAGUGGUAAGGCAGCAGUUUGCAAAACUGCCAUACGGCGGUUCGACCCCGCCCGCCGCCU